GACACUGGGGUUUUAUAUACAGUUUUUAAGCUAUCAAUACUACAUUUCCAUCUUAAUGAAAUUUUUAAGAGGAAGUCAGUUGUGUUGGGUUAUGUGCAUACACAUACAUUAACAUAAGUAAAUUUUUAAAAACGUGCUCUAGUCUUAGAAGGCCUUCGAAGUCAGGUGCUGUGCCUGCAUUACAUAAAUCAGUUUUCAUUUUUGAACUAAAAGGGCUCAAAUCUGGAUUUAAAGAUGACUGACAAGUCUGUUUUCCUCUCAGAUUUACUAAAGGGUUUACAGCCAGGAGGAGCUCAGCAUGCAGCAACGCUUUCCCACUCACCUCUGCCUGCACACUUACAGCAAGCAUUUCACGAUGGAGGCCAAAGUAAAGGGGACACUAAAUUACCACGGAAAUCUCAGUGACUGCCAGCAAGCAAAGGAGACGAAAUGUUUAGUUGACUGAUGGAAUCUACCUGAUGGGAAAGUACUUAUGUGGUCAUAGGGCUGCUGUUUCUGUCGAUGUUUACAUUCUCUCGUCCCAAGCACUGUGGUGAGGAGGAAAAAGAAAAGAAAACAUUACUUGAGCAAAGCCAGGUGCAGGAGGAAGAAAUGCUUUUGUGCAAAGUUAGUGACCUUUGGUCUCUUCUAAAGAAUGACAAAGUUACCAUAUUAACAGACUUGAAAGAGACUCAGUUGUCAAACCCACAGAAAUACAAAUUUGAUUUUUCCCGGGGGAGGAAGAAGGAAGUCAGGAGAAUUUGGGUAAACUCCAUCCAUCCUGGGGGUUGGAUCUGAACACUUACAGACAUAAUUGGUAAUAAAAGGCAUUAAAAACUGGAAUUAGGCCAGUUUGUCAGGAAUAAUGAUCAUGUCUAUUUGAAUGGACUGUGUAGCAGAUUUGCCACAAAAAAAAAUAAUAAUGAUUCUAUCUCCGAUAGACAGUAGCUGAAGAAAUAGCACACCCUCGGAAAUCCUGAACAAACUUGAAUCUCCUCCAGUGUGUAGCAACUCCCCUCAAUCAGCGGACUAAAGAUCCUUCAGGAAAGUUAUUUUAGCACAGUGAUAUAUAUUAUUAAAUCAUCUAGAUUUUUAAAAAUCAGGAAGUUGAGCCUGUUGCUCUUAAGAGAUGAAACCUAGAUGUCCCCUUUUUGUAAAAGGGUCAAUUUCAUCUUCCGUUCAGAAGCAGGUACUUAACUCUUUUCUUCAGGUGAUUUGUGCAUCUAGUAUUGACUGGUUAAUUCUUAUUUCCAUUCUUGAUGUUAAAAUGUGACUGUGUUCACAUUUUUCUCUUGAGAAAUGGGGAUCUUUACAGGGUUAUUGCUUUGCUGCUUUUAGCCCUUGCAGCAACAUAAACUCUAAGUUUCCCCAGUUCAUCUAACUUCACAACUUCUCCUUCCGUUCUUUUAGCUAGUGGUCCUUCAGGUGAUUAUUAGCUAUUGGUAUAAACAGGUAGAAGUGUACACUAUGUUUCUUCAUUGGUCAUUCAAAUGGCAUGAAUAUAGUUUUUGAAUUUUUAAGAUGGUAUUUUAAAGGGAGGAAUCACAUUAGGAUCACAAUCACGACAUAUUUUUACUCCCUGUAUCCAGUGUAGUGAAAUUGGAGCAUUUGAGAUCCUAAAGCUUUACUAUUUACUCAGUGUAUUGGUAUUUGAGUAAAUCUGCAGAAAAUAAGACUCCUUAGUUAUUAUAGCUUCCUUAUGCAAAUAGCAUAUUCAACAAAGGAUGUUAAGGGAAAAAUUUAUGGUUCUCCUUGGAUACAUUUGAUUUGAUGGGUUUUUUUGCCGCAUUAUUCUAGUUUUUUAAGCUUCUGAAUAUUUUCAUACUGUAUCGGAGAAUGGUGUAAACUCUAAAUGGUGUAAGCUUCAUCCAUUUAUAAUGACACUAACCUAAAAAAAAUAGACUGGUAGUGACAAGAUUUAUUGCAUAUGUGUUUAUUAUACAUUACCCUAUACCAUUAGAUUUACUCAAUUAAGAGUAUUAACCAGGCCCUUUUUUCUUUUAUACACAAAAGUCCCAGAUACCCUACAGGACUGUGAAUAAAUAACCACAGAUCGGUUCAGAUCUGUAUGCCUGUAUUUUGACUUCAAAGUCACAUUGGCUUGCUUCAUAGCGAAAAAGUUAAUAAAUAACUGAAAACUUUAGUUCCAAGAACUUGUUACAGUAAAGGGAAAGGAUUAUUUCAAAGGAAUCACUGAUAUAAUUUCUUGACUCUAAGAAUUUAGUUUAUCAAUAAAACAAAUAUGGAUGUAGUAUGAACCCCAGUAGAUAUUUUGGAAGGAUACUGGGAGGAUGUUGCAGAGAGGUUUGACUUGAAUUCAGUAUGUUUGAUGAAGAUUUGCUUGGUUUCAAUUAAGGAAGCUUGCCCAAUUUUUUUAAUUUUUUCAAAUGUAGUGGACCUCUUGCUUUUAUGAAAUUUGAAUAAAAAGGUCUUUGCUUCAUACUAGGGGAAGUGAUGGGAUUUUCCUUUGGGAAGGUAGCCUUUGUUUUACUUCUCAUACCACAAGAGAAGUCGAAGUGCGUAUUAAUUUCUCUUCCUGAAUACUUGUAUAUAUGUUUGUCUGUAUGUAUAUAUACAUACACACAUACAUUCAUAUAAAUGACUAGUUUGAGUCAAAAAAUCAUUUGAAUUUCUUAAAACCAUCAAUUCUGAAUCAUGCCAUAUGAAGAUCUCUGGUGACUGUCAUCAUUAGGAAACAACAAGAUAAUCAGUUCUUUUCCCUGUAACAUUUUAUACUAACCAGUAAAAAUAUCUGAAGGCCCUUGGCUCCAAGAAUACAAUAUGGAGAUUCUUCUGUGUUCUCUUUAGUCUUGAUUCCUUGAGGACUACUGUCAGAUCCCUACCUUAAACCCCCAUCUGCACUGACGACUUAGAUUCAUUUCAGUCAGGACCCCCCUUUUAUGUUGUAUGAAUCAAUCAAACAUCGUUGUAUUUCUGUAUAGAUCAAGUAUGAUCAGAGAGUUUCUACAUGUAAAUAGUAAUCUAUUUCUUUCCUAGAUCAUAACAUUGAAAAAGGUGCCCAUACUUUAUGGUCACCUGUCUUUACCGUUUUUAUUACUAAAAACAAACAUAUAAAUUGGUUAUUUUUUAGCACAGAGACUUGUGACUCAUACUGUAUUUUUGCACUUAAAAAUCAAAUUAUGUUAUUUUUUAAAAUGGUGAGUCAUUGGAAAGGAUAUCUAUAGAGCAACGUGUAUUUCUGAAGAGCAUUAGCAACAUCCAAAUGCAAAAAUAAUCAGCACACAUGAUUAUAUCCCACUCCUCGGGAUUCUUGAUUCAGGAAGAUUAAGCUGUUUGUUUUCAACUGUUUUAUAUUUUAAAUUGCCUUCACUGAUAUAUAAGCUGUUACUGUACAUACAAGUUAAUCCUCAGUAUUCACAAGCAAUAACAGUCAGCAGGGUUGUCCUCGGAGAUAGCUGUGCUGAGCCUCAGUUGGAGACUGGGAGCAAAGUGUCAAGCUCAUUCAGAGCAUCCAGAAUAAAUGCAAGCAAUAAUUUCCAUUAUAAGUCAAUUAUAAUUCUUGUAUGCUUUUGAGGUCAGAGGGUAAAUGAAAUCGUGAUUUUAAAACAGCCUGAAGAAAAAGGUUUUGGGAAAGGAAAUGAGGCUAAUCUGUAGUCAUAAAAUUCUGAUACUUUGCGGAAAUUAGAAGAUGGUGAUAGUGCAUUCUUUCGUGCCCACCCCCCCUCUGAUGGAUGUUGUUAGCCCAAAUUACAUUUUUCAUAUCAUGGACAUUGAAUAGGGUUUAUUGAAUCAGGAAGGUAAGGGGAAGAACCGGGCACAUAUGUGUUGGAAUACUGUGGGUUUGACACCUGGUUGAAAACAACUUAUUGGACAUGAUUUUUAACCCAGGAUAUUUUUUUCCCAAAGCAGAUCUAAAUUGUUUACUACCCAGGGUUGGAAAGGGCAGGCACCUCUAAUCUAGUCUUUGUCCUCUGGUUGCCCUCUCCCACACCCCUUUCCACCUAUACUUGGUUCAAGACAUUUUCUGAAACGAAAAUUCUACUGUUGUUCAAACUGCCAUUGGUUAUGAGAACUCUGCGUCCUUUGGGAUCAUCUCUUAGAACUCCAGUGAUCUAUCAUAUUUGCUGCUACAUUUGUAAAAUGAACUUUGCCUGUAUUGGUUGACUUUAAUUUACAGUUCUUUAUUUCUAGGAUGUUUUGUCCUCUAGUUUGACUCAUGUAUAGAAUUAGGAUACUUUAUUUUAGGAGUGUACCGUAAAAGCACACUGGUCCCUUUGUUGUUUUUAUUAUUUAGGUUUGGAAUUUCUGUUUGCUUUUUUUUUGUUUGUUUUUUGUUUUGUUUCUGUUUUUGUUUUUUUUUAAAGUUGGAAAUAGAAGAAUGAGAAAAAUCUAUAAUCAGGCCAAACUUGAGAACUUUCCUGUGCUUCAGCACUGUGAUUCUGCUGACCUAAUGUUCUCAAAAGAGGCACUUUUACUUUCUAUUGUGCAUGUAUGAUUGUUGUUUUUUGCUUUUGAGGGGGCUUUUGUGUUUGUAAUAAUGAAGCAGAAGAAAAGUGCAGUAGUAGAUAAAUGAUCACAACAUGUUAUGCAAUUUUAUUUUAUAAAAUUUUAAGGGGAAAAGUUU
rnacentral:sRNA from 1 species